rnacentral:rRNA from 1 species
AAUCCGGUUGAUCCUGCCGGAGGCUACCGCUAUUGGAGUUCGAUUAAGCCAUGCGAGUCGCGAGUCUUAGGGACUCGGCGUACCGCUCAGUAACACGUGGGUAACCUGCCCUAUGCUGGGGGAUAACCUCGGGAAACUGAGAAUAAUACCCCAUAGUUCACCACGCCUGGAACGGUGGGUGGACCAAAGCUCCGGCGGCAUAGGAUGGGCCUGCGGCGUAUCAGGUUGUAGGGGGUGUAAUGUACCCUCUAGCCCUCUACGCGUACGGGUGUUGAGAGACAUCGCCCGGAGAUGGAUUCUGAGACACGAAUCCAGACCCUACGGGGUGCAGCAGGCGCGAAAACUUGGCAAUGCGAGAAAUCGUGACCAGGGAACUCCAAGUGCAUCGGGUAAGACCGAUGCUUUUCUUGACUCUUCAAAGGUCUUGGAAUAAGGGGUGGGUAAGGACGGUGCCAGCCGCCGCGGUAAUACCGGCGCCCCAAGUGGUAGUCGCUUUUAUUGGGCCUAAAACGUCCGUAGCCGGUUUGGUACAUUCGUGGGUAAAUCAAGGCGCUCAACGCCUUGAAUUCUGCGAGCACGGCCAGACUUGGGACCGGGAGAGGUGUGGGGUACUCUCAGGGUAGGGGUAAAAUCCUGUCAUCCUGAGAGGACCACCUGUUGCGAAGGCGCCACACUAGAACGGAUCCGACGGUCAGGGACGAAGCCUAGGGGCACGAACCGGAUUAGAUACCCGGGUAGUCCUAGGUGUAAACGCUGUGGACUUGAUGUUGGGAGUGCUCCGAGCACCCUCAGUGUCGAAGCGAAGGUGAUAAGUCCACUGCCUGGGGAGUACGGUCGCAAGGCUGAAACUUAAAGGAAUUGGCGGGGGAGCACCGCAACCUGAGGAUUGUGCGGUUUAAUUGGAUUCAACGCCGGAAAACUCACCAUAGCCGACGGACAUAUGAAGGCCAGCGUAAUGAGCUUGCUGGAUUGUUCGAGAGGUAGUGCAUGGCCGUCGUCAGUUCGUACCGCAAGG